rfam:Terrisporobacter sp. 08-306576 Contig068, whole genome shotgun sequence.
ACCUAGGGUAGAGGUGCGGUAAUUAAAAGUAUUUGAAAGUAGUCGGCAGAUGAUGAUAUUCAAAGAAAGGAAUUAUUGCCGAAAAGGUAAUCUUUGCAAAGAUUAUUUUUGGGGUUAUACAUAAUAUGUAUAGCACUGUCACUUAUUUUUAAGUGGUGAGCUACAAGGUUU